CCUACGGGCGGCAGCAGUGGGGAAUAUUGGACAAUGGGCGAAAGCCUGAUCCAGCCAUGCCGCGUGUGUGAAGAAGGCCUUCGGGUUGUAAAGCACUUUCAGUGGGGAAGAAAGCCUUGGGGCUAAUACCCUCGAGGAAGGACAUCACCCACAGAAGAAGCACCGGCUAACUCCGUGCCAGCAGCCGCGGUAAUACGGAGGGUGCGAGCGUUAAUCGGAAUUACUGGGCUUAAAGCGCGCGUAGGCGGUCUGAUAAGCCGGUUGUGAAAGCCCCGGGCUCAACCUGGGAACGGCAUCCGGAACUGUCAGGCUAGAGUGCAGGAGAGGAAGGUAGAAUUCCCGGUGUAGCGGUGAAAUGCGUAGAGAUCGGGAGGAAUACCAGUGGCGAAGGCGGCCUUCUGGACUGACACUGACGCUGAGGUGCGAAAGCGUGGGUAGCAAACAGGAUUAGAUACCCUGGUAGUC
rnacentral:rRNA from 1 species